UCUCCGUAGGUGAACCUGCGGAGGGAUCAUUACUGCGUUAGGGCGUCUGUCCGACCUCCAACCCUUUGUGAAUCGUACUCGUUGCUUCGGGGGCGACCCUGCCGUCCGCGGCUGAGCGCCCCCGGGGUAAAUCAAACACUGCAUUCUCUGCGUCGGAGUAUUAGUAAAUCUAAUCAAAACUUUCAACAACGGAUCUCUUGGUUCUGGCAUCGAUGAAGAACGCAGC
rnacentral:misc_RNA from 1 species